UACGAGCAAGCCAUAAAACAUGAACAUGGAUCAUUCAUAACAUCGACCGGAGCCUUGGCUACCUUGUCCGGCACGAAGACUGGCCGUUCGCCGAGGGACAAGCGCGUCGUCAAGGAUGAAACCACUGCCAAUGAGCUUUGGUGGGGAAAAGGCUCGCCAGAAGA